AAUUCUCUUUAAGCUCUCUCUCUCUCUCUCUCUCUCUCUGUGAUCGGUUUCUCAUCGAUGUCAAUAAUCAUCUAACUUAAAACCCCAAAACAAAUCCAGUUUAAAAUAUCGAUUUAUGUUCAUCAAAGUUGUUCAAUUUGUUAGUCGAUCUAUCUACUCAAGAUCUUUUGUCAGGGAGAGUAGUUCAGCCAUCACCUUUACCGAUCAUUGACAUGCAAUCAAAUAAAAUCGGCCAUCAUCUUAGUGUAGAAUAAGAUGCAGAUUACAAAAUCAAAUUUCCCUCUUGAGAGAGCACAAACCCGUAAAGGUAGUCAAACUCGAUCGAUUGGUUAAUCAAAUUUCCCUCUUCCUCUGCGUUCAGCGGUAUGAACACUGGUCAAGACCAAGAUGGCCACAUCACAAUAUGAAGAUAAGUUUUUGGUAUUUUAGUAAAUAUGAUAGAAUGAUAUGUUAUUGACAUAAGAAUUAGAAAACUUGUUUUCUUCUGGAUAGUUUCACUCUUUAUAGGUAUUUUUGAAUAAUUAAUAAGAUCUAUACUCAAGCAAUUGCCUUUAUGUAAGCUAAUCGUGUCUUUACUUGUCAACAAAUCAAACGCGAUAAACAAAUAAUUAUUUACUCAAACGUAAACGUCACUAUUUCAUAUUAUAAUAAUUGUAUACUUAAUAUUUGAAAGACUAAUUUGUCUAUUUCAUUAUACAGUGUAAAUUGCGAGAUUAUUCUGACAUAUAAUUGUAACUGUAUUUGUUUGGACAGGUCUAAAGAUGUGUUGGUUUAAGUACUAACCUUUCCAAUAUCUGAAUGUGUUCAACACUUAAAAGAUAAGUGUAUCUAUUUGGGAUGCCAUGCUUUUGCAUAUAUGACUGAGAUAACUGAAACAUAAUUAUACUUUCAUCUAAUUUAAAUCUACAGAUUAUUUAUAUGGUCUAUAUAAAACAAAUAAUGACUGACCAGAAACAAACACCAAUUCAAUAUCACAAAGUUAUUAAUUUUACAACAUUUGACAUGAGUAGUAUAAUGUCUAAAAGAUUUAACUUAUGCAUUGUUUUGUUUUCGUUUAAAAGAAGCUCAAUAUUUGAUAUAAAUGGAAUCUGUGGGUGAAAAUAACUUUUUUGGUCCAUACCGCUUCUAUGGGUGAAAGUAACAUGUCAUCGUUUUGGAAGCCAGAUGACUUUAUGACUGUCUGAUUGAUGAAAGUAAUCUUGUGCAUGUUUUUUGUUGGUCGAUAUUGUUUUCCAGCAGGACUCAUUUGGAAGUUCUCAACAGUCUUCCACUCACCUACAUUGCAUUCAAUAUCACAAAGUUAUUAAUUUUACAACAUUUGACAUGAGUAGUAUAAUGUCUAAAAGAUUUAACUUAUGCAUUGUUUUGUUUUCGUUUAAAAGAAGCUCAAUAUUUGAUAUAAAUGGAAUCUGUGGGUGAAAAUAACUUUUUUGGUCCAUACCGCUUCUAUGGGUGAAAGUAACAUGUCAUCGUUUUGGAAGCCAGAUGACUUUAUGACUGUCUGAUUGAUGAAAGUAAUCUUGUGCAUGUUUUUUGUUGGUCGAUAUUGUUUUCCAGCAGGACUCAUUUGGAAGUUCUCAACAGUCUUCCACUCACCUACAUUGCAUUCAAUAUCACAAAGUUAUUAAUUUUACAACAUUUGACAUGAGUAGUAUAAUGUCUAAAAGAUUUAACUUAUGCAUUGUUUUGUUUUCGUUUAAAAGAACCUCAAUAUUUGAUAUAAAUGGAAUCUGUGGGUGAAAAUAACUUUUUUGGUCCAUACCGCUUCUAUGGGUGAAAGUAACAUGUCAUCGUUUUGGAAGCCAGAUGACUUUAUGACUGUCUGAUUGAUGAAAGUAAUCUUGUGCAUAUUUUUUGUUGGUCGAUACUGUUUUCCAGGACUCAUUUGGAAGUUCUCAACAUUCUUCCACUCACCUACAUUGCGUUCUUCCCCCCCCCCCAAAAGACUUCAUGUAAUUCUUCUAACAGGAAAAUAACGUAGACUUUAAUUCAAUAUCUCAUUGAAAUUUCUUUUACCAAAUUGAGAAAAUAAACGCUAUAUUCAAAUUCACGUUUUAGUUU